GCACAAGCGGUGGAGCAUGUGGUUUAAUUCGACGCAACGCGCAGAACCUUACCAGCCCUUGACAUCCCGGUCGCGGACUCCAGAGACGGAGUCCUUCAGUUCGGCUGGACCGGAGACAGGUGCUGCAUGGCUGUCGUCAGCUCGUGCCGUGAGAUGUUGGGUUAAGUCCCGCAACGAGCGCAACCCCCGUCCUUAGUUGCUACCAUUUAGUUGAGCACUCUAAGGAGACUGCCGGUGAUAAGCCGCGAGGAAGGUGGGGAUGACGUCAAGUCCUCAUGGCCCUUACGGGCUGGGCUACACACGUGCUACAAUGGCGGUGACAAUGGGACGCUAAGGGGCAACCCUUCGCAAAUCUCAAAAAGCCGUCUCAGUUCGGAUUGGGCUCUGCAACUCGAGCCCAUGAAGUUGGAAUCGCUAGUAAUCGUGGAUCAGCACGCCACGGUGAAUACGUUCCCGGGC
rnacentral:rRNA from 1 species